UGAGACUCUUGAUAGAUAAAUAAAUAAAUAAAUCCCAGCUGUACUGAGCACCGUUCUGUAAAGACUUUCCCUUUUGCCAGAAACACUGAACCAUGUAGGUUUGUAAGAAGGCAAAACCUGGUUGUAGCAUAACUUGGUCAUGCCAAGUGUGCCAAACUUCAGAGGCCCUCAAAUAACUGGUCCUACCACCAGUUUUCCUGCACAACCUACAUGCAUGCUUUCUGUCUCUUCCUCUCCCCCUCUCCAUCUCUGGCCACAAUCCUACAAUGUCCAUACUUCCAGCCAUGUACUUGACAGUCAAACAAAAAAAGUUCUAAGGUUUGGCCAGAUGACAGUAUACAAUCAGCCCAAACACCUACACUUUCUACAUUGACUGUACCAUCCACAUUGAUUAUUCCAAUAAUCCAUACAUCAGUAAACAUUUAAUACACUAAAUUACAUCCCCCACUCUAUUCACUAAUGAACCUGAGAAGUAACAAUAAAAAGUUUUUCUGGUUAAGAAAAUGCAGUUCAUUACAGUCAUUACAGCAUUUGGGUCUCUCAAGAUUGGCCUCUUCCAUGCAAAAGGCAUUACCAUGGUGAUCUUCUAGACACCAUAUGUUUUCCUCCCAUAUCUUUUGAGCCAAUUAACCUACUCUCCUCCCAGAGCACAUGUGCAGUUCAUGGCAAGUUAGGAAGAAACCAUCAAUUGACUGGGUUGCAGAAAGUUUAGAAGCAAACAGUGGCUCUGAUAUAUCCCUAACAAACAGGUUUCAUGCAUAACAAAAGAAAUGUGGAGUUCUACUCCAAGACUGAAUACCUCCCAGUUUAAGCAAUUUUCAUAUACAAUAGAAACAGAAGUGUUCCACACUGAUGCUAAAAAUGUUGGCUUAAGUUAAUUCCAAAAUACCACAGUUGAGAAGGAGUAGCCUUGAGUGACUCUCAGUUCAUUCAUUUGACCAUCAUUUACGAAACGCUGUACAGGAUCCACGUGCUGUAUGCUUGUGAGAUGCAGAGGGCAAGACAAAAGUCCUUGUCCCCAAGAAGCUUAUGAUCCAGAAUAAUUAAAACUUCAGAGGUCAUAAAAGCCUUAGAAAUCUAAUAAAAGUUGCAGACUCCUAGGAAAAUACUUUCACAGAAAGAAUAUUCCAGAUGAUUACAGGAAAUCACAAGUUCCCCAGAGGGAAAUCCAUAUACUUAAGUAAAGUACCCUUGAUCUAAUAGGAGAGGGGACAUAGGUUCAUAAAUAUAUAGUUCCAAGGUAUGUAUUAAAACUGCGUAUGUAUCAUAGUUUGGUUCAUUAUCAUUUUGGAUUAUGUUUGCAUGCUUUUCAGGAUUCUGUGAGGUGAGUGGAACCUAAGGCCUCAAGGACCACCUUACACAGCCCAGUGUCUGAGGCUCCCAUGGUUCCAGGCCAUUAGCUGGGAAGUACAAUGAGGCCUGUUACUUCCAAGGCUGAUGAGAACGCUGAGGAAACCAGUAACACAAACUCACUGGUCCACAAAAGGAGGUUUUCACUUACAGAGAAUCUUUACACAAUAUUCAUCAGCCAAAUACCUACAGAAAGUUAAUUCAUACUUGAAAGAUCUCAGAAAGGCAACUCAUGCUAGGUCCCCUUUGAGCUUCCCAUGGGCUGCUCAAGUUGUCUUGAUGCAUCGUCAAUUAUAUGUUCUUCACGACUAAACAUCGCUUACAACAUUAUUAAUUUCUGCAGAACCAAAUGGAACAGGAAAUGCCUAGAGGUGAUAUGUCUGUGACCUGCACAUUAUAACGUGGAAUUGUGAACAGACUACCUCUCUGGGAAUCUUCACAUGAAAAGGCAAUCAAAUUAACUUCCAAUUAGUCCACUGCUAAAAAUAAUGCUAAGAAAGAGAUGUUUUUGGUCGCUUUGAAGAGAGGGGAGACUCUGAGCUACCUGGGAAGGAGAUGCGUUUGGAGGUUGCAGGAGAAUCUGUCAGCUC